rnacentral:rRNA from 1 species
GACGAACGCUGGCGGCGUGCUUAACACAUGCAAGUAGAACGGAAAGGCCCUGCUUUUGUGGGGUGCUCGAGUGGCGAACGGGUGAGUAACACGUGAGUAACCUGCCCUUGACUUUGGGAUAACUUCAGGAAACUGGGGCUAAUACCGGAUAGGAGCUCCUGCUGCAUGGUGGGGGUUGGAAAGUUUCGGCGGUUGGGGAUGGACUCGCGGCUUAUCAGCUUGUUGGUGGGGUAGUGGCUUACCAAGGCUUUGACGGGUAGCCGGCCUGAGAGGGUGACCGGCCACAUUGGGACUGAGAUACGGCCCAGACUCCUACGGGAGGCAGCAGUGGGGAAUAUUGCACAAUGGGCGGAAGCCUGAUGCAGCAACGCCGCGUGCGGGAUGACGGCCUUCGGGUUGUAAACCGCUUUCGCCUGUGACGAAGCGUGAGUGACGGUAAUGGGUAAAGAAGCACCGGCUAACUACGU